UACGAAGGGAGCUAGCGUUGUUCGGAAUCACUGGGCGUAAAGCGCACGUAGGCGGAUGUGUCAGUCAGGGGUGAAAUCCCGGAGCUCAACUUCGGAACUGCCCUUGAUACAGCACAUCUUGAGUCCGGAAGAGGUGGGUGGAAUUCCUAGUGUAGAGGUGAAAUUCGUAGAUAUUCGCAAGAACACCAGUGGCGAAGGCGGCUCACUGGCCCGGUACUGACGCUGAGGUGCGAAAGCGUGGGGAGCAAACAGG
rnacentral:rRNA from 1 species